UCGAAUGGGGAGAUUCAUCGUCAGCGGCGCUGGCUUCACGGCGGUGCGUGAUGCUCCGAUUGGCUUCGGCCAACUGCGAGAGCACGCCAUCGUCGAUAAAUGUCCGGUGUCGUAGUCGUGCACUUCUCCCCUAGUAGAACGUCGCGACCCGUUGGGUGUCGGUCUACGGCCUGGGUGGGUGACUGCCGCGUCGUUUUCAUGCGCACGCGACAGACCCCCGGUCGCCCGACCGGCUGCUCGGCGGUACUCGCACGGUAUCGGGCCGCAACCAUUGUGCGUCAGGCCCGCCGCAAGCGCGGUCAGUGUAUACCCGGAUGUACGGACUUAGCGCCGUUCCCGGGCCUGGCCCGCUGUUCGCUGGCGGAGUCCUCGGACAGGCCAAGCUUUGAAAUACCGGUCGGCGACGCUACUGCUUUGGGUACU
rnacentral:rRNA from 1 species